rnacentral:rRNA from 1 species
GAUGAACGCUGGCGGCGUGCCUAAUACAUGCCAGUCGAGCGAACGGACGAGAAGCUUGCUUCUCUGAUGUUAGCGGCGGACGGGUGAGUAACACGUGGAUAACCUACCUAUAAGACUGGGAUAACUUCGGGAAACCGGAGCUAAUACCGGAUGAUAUUUUGAACCGCAUGGUUCAAAAGUGAAAGACGGUCUUGCUGUCACUUAUAGAUGGAUCCGCGCUGCAUUAGCUAGUUGGUAAGGUAACGGCUUACCAAGGCAACGAUGCAUAGCCGACCUGAGAGGGUGAUCGGCCACACUGGAACUGAGACACGGUCCAGACUCCUACGGGAGGCAGCAGUAGGGAAUCUUCCGCAAUGGGCGAAAGCCUGACGGAGCAACGCCGCGUGAGUGAUGAAGGUCUUCGGGUCGUAAAACUCUGUUAUUAGGGAAGAACAUAUGUGUAAGUAACUGUGCACAUCUUGACGGUACCUAAUCAGAAAGCCACGGCUAACUACGUG